AUUCACUUGAUGAGUCUUAAAUAGAACGAAACGCGCGUUAUGGAU
rfam:Schistosoma haematobium scaffold1155_1, whole genome shotgun sequence.